rnacentral:rRNA from 1 species
AUUGAACGCUGGCGGCAUGCCUUACACAUGCAAGUCGAACGGUAACGGGCCUUCGGGUGCCGACGAGUGGCGAACGGGUGAGUAAUACAUCGGAACGUGCCCGAUCGUGGGGGAUAACGAGGCGAAAGCUUUGCUAAUACCGCAUACGAUCUACGGAUGAAAGCAGGGGACCGCAAGGCCUUGCGCGGACGGAGCGGCCGAUGGCAGAUUAGGUAGUUGGUGGGAUAAAAGCUUACCAAGCCGACGAUCUGUAGCUGGUCUGAGAGGAUGAUCAGCCACACUGGGGCUGAGACACGGCCCAGACUCCUACGGGAGGCAGCAGUGGGGAAUUUUGGACAAAGGGCGCAAGCCUGAUCCAGCCAUGCCGCGUGCAGGAUGAAGGCCUUCGGGUUGUAAACUGCUUUUGUACGGAACGAAAAGCCUUCUUUUAAUACAGGAGGGUCAUGACGGUACCGUAAGAAUAAGCACCGGCUAACUACGUG